rnacentral:rRNA from 1 species
UACGUAGGGGGCAAGCGUUGUCCGGAAUCAUUGGGCGUAAAGAGCGUGUAGGCGGCUCGGUAAGUCCGCUGUGAAAGUCCAGGGCUCAACCCUGGAAUGCCGGUGGAAACUGUCGAGCUAGAGUCCGGAAGAGGCGUGUGGAAUUCCUGGUGUAGCGGUGAAAUGCGCAGAUAUCAGGAGGAACACCAAUGGCGAAGGCAGCACUCUGGGACGUGACUGACGCUGAGACGCGAAAGCGUGGGGAGCGAACAGG